rnacentral:rRNA from 1 species
GUGUCAGCAGCCGCGGUAAUACGGAGGGUGCAAGCGUUAUCCGGAUUCACUGGGUUUAAAGGGUGCGUAGGCGGGUAAGUAAGUCAGUGGUGAAAUCUCCGGGCUUAACUCGGAAACUGCCGUUGAUACUAUUUAUCUUGAAUAUCAUGGAGGUAAGCGGAAUAUGUCAUGUAGCGGUGAAAUGCUUAGAUAUGACAUAGAACACCGAUAGCGAAGGCAGCUUACUACAUGUUAAUUGACGCUGAGGCACGAAAGCGUGGGGAGCAAACAGGAUUAGAUACCCUAGUAGUCC